rnacentral:misc_RNA from 1 species
GAUGAAGAACGUAGCGAAAUGCGAUAAGUAAUGUGAAUUGCAGAAUUCAGUGAAUCAUCGAGUCUUUGAACGCACAUUGCGCCCCCUGGUAUUCCGGGGGGCAUGCCUGUCCGAGCGUCAUUGCUGCCCUCAAGCACGGCUUGUGUGUUGGGCCUCCGUCCUCCUCCCGGGGGACGGGCCCGAAAGGCAGCGGCGGCACCGCGUCCGGUCCUCGAGCGUAUGGGGAUUCGUCACCCGCUCUUGUAGGCCCGGCCGGCGCUUGCCGACACAUCAAUCUUUUUUCCAGGUUGACCUCGGAUCAGGUAGGGAUACCCGCUGAACUUAAGCAUAUCAAUAAGCGGAGGA